rnacentral:rRNA from 1 species
ACAUCCAGCGAACUUGGCAGAGAUGCCUUGGUGCCUUCGGGAACGCUGAGACAGGUGCUGCAUGGCUGUCGUCAGCUCGUGUUGUGAAAGUGUUGGGUUAAGUCCCGCAACGAGCGCAACCCUUAUCCUUUGUUGCCAGCGAUUCGGUCGGGAACUCAAAGGAGACUGCCGGUGAUAAACCGGAGGAAGGUGGGGAUGACGUCAAGUCAUCAUGGCCCUUACGAGUAGGGCUACACACGUGCUACAAUGGCGCAUACAAAGAGAAGCGACCUCGCGAGAGCAAGCGGACCUCAUAAAGUGCGUCGUAGUCCGGAUCGGAGUCUGCAACUCGACUCCGUGAAGUCGGAAUCGCUAGUAAUCGUGGAUCAGAAUGCCACGGUGAAUACGUUCCCGGGCCUUGUACACACCGCCCGUCACACCAUGGGAGUGGGUUGCAAAAGAAGUAGGUAGCUUAACCUUCGGGAGGGCGCUUACCACUUUGUGAUUCAUGACUGGGGUGAAGUCGUAACAAGGUAAGCGUAGCGAG